CAAAAAUUGGGCAAAGGAUAUGAACAGACACUUCUCAAAAGAAGACAUUUGUGCAGCCAACAGAUAUAUGAAAAAAGGCAUCGCUGCCUUUUUACCAUGGUGGGAAAUGUGAAAUUAUCGUUAUCCAGGAAUGGCAUCUGUGACAAUAAAGAAGAUGAAAAGAUGAUUCCUAGACCAAAAUAAGAAGAGAUGAUGUCUGGAUAUUUGCCCUGAUUUGACAAUAAGUAAAUUUAGCUGACCACUGAUACAGAGACCAAAAUCCCACUCAAAUCAAAGAAUACCUGAGACUUGGUAAUUUAUAAA